AGAGUUUGAUCAUGGCUCAGGAUGAACGCUAGCGGCAGGCUUAACACAUGCAAGUCGAGGGGCAGCACGGGUAGCAAUACCUGGUGGCGACCGGCGCAAGGGUGCGUAACGCGUGAGCAACAUGCCCUAUACAGGGGGAUAAACCAGGGAAACUUGGACUAAUACCCCAUAGCAUUUAUUUAUGGCAUCAUGAAUAAAUUAAAGCUUCGGUGGUAUAGGAUUGGCUCGCGUGACAUUAGCUAGAUGGUGAGGUAACGGCUCACCAUGGCGAUGAUGUCUAGGGGUUCUGAGAGGAAGGCCCCCCACACUGGGACUGAGACACGGCCCAGACUCCUACGGGAGGCAGCAGUGAGGAAUAUUGGACAAUGGAUGGAAAUCUGAUCCAGCCAUGCCGCGUGCAGGAAGACGGCCCUAUGGGUUGUAAACUGCUUUUAUACGGGAGCAAUAAGGUCUACGUGUAGACUGAUGAGAGUACCGUAUGAAUAAGCAUCGGCUAACUCCGUGCCAGCAGCCGCGGUAAUACGGAGGAUGCGAGCGUUAUCCGGAUUUAUUGGGUUUAAAGGGUGCGUAGGCGGCCUUGUAAGUCAGCGGUGAAAUUUUGCAGCUUAACUGUAAAAGUGCCGUUGAUACUGUGAGGCUAGGAUUUGGUUGCUGUGGGUGGAAUGUGUGGUGUAGCGGUGAAAUGCUUAGAGAUCACACAGAAUAUCGAUUGCGAAGGCAGCUCACAAAGCCAAGAUUGACGCUGAGGCACGAAAGUGUGGGGAUCAAACAGGAUUAGAUACCCU
rnacentral:rRNA from 1 species